rnacentral:rRNA from 1 species
GUCUAUGGCCAUACCACCCUGAACGUGCUGGAUCUCAAAUGAUCUCAGAAGCUAAGCAGGGUUGGGUCUGGUUAGUACUUGGAUGGGAGGAUCCAAAGUCUCAACUC